rnacentral:rRNA from 1 species
GAUGAACGCUAGCUACAGGCUUAACACAUGCAAGUCGAGGGGAAACGAUGAGGGAGCUUGCUCUCUUAGUCGUCGACCGGCGCACGGGUGAGUAACGCGUAUCCAACCUGCCUCUGACCAAGGGAUAACCCGUCGAAAGUCGGACUAAUACCUUAUGCAGUCGUCGGAAGUCAUCUGAUGACGACGAAAGAUUUCAUCGGUGAGAGAUGGGGAUGCGUCUGAUUAGCUUGUUGGCGGGGUAACGGCCCACCAAGGCGACGAUCAGUAGGGGUUCUGAGAGGAAGGUCCCCCACAUUGGAACUGAGACACGGUCCAAACUCCUACGGGAGGCAGCAGUGAGGAAUAUUGGUCAAUGGGCGUAAGCCUGAACCAGCCAAGUAGCGUGCAGGAUGACGGCCCUAUGGGUUGUAAACUGCUUUUAUGCGGGGAUAAAGUGAGGGACGUGUCCUUCAUUGCAGGUACCGCAUGAAUAAGGACCGGCUAAUUCCGUG